CUGAAUGAGUAAGCCAGUAUCGCUCUUGUUGGUGAAAUGAAUACAAUACCAAUUCCAUUUCCUUCUCCAUUGGAGGAUCCAUCCACCAAUAUCUCUCAUCUGUUUGGAUUUCGCUCAUUUAAUAAAUCAUUAGGAUUUCCAUGUUCUUCAUCCACCUCCAUCAUUUCUUCUACAUAUUCAUCUUCUUCUAUUGGAAAUUCUGCAAGAAACUCUGCGGUAACUUGAGACUUUGGUGAAGAUAAAAUUUCAUAACCAAUCUCAUAGUUUCCUAAUUGUGCAUUCCACCUCUCUAUUCUUCCUAACCUCUUCGAAUUCUUCAUUGCGUUUUCAAUUGGUACUCUUUUUAAUACUUUAAUUUUGUGAGCUUGAAAAUAAAUGUGAAGCUUGAAUGAUGCAUAUACCAGUGCGAGAAUCAACUUUUCAAUUUUUGAGUGGUGGCAUAUCUCUAAUCGCUUGUACCAUCUCCGGAUCAACUUGUAUUCCCUCCUUGGAUAUAAUAUAUCCUAAAUUUUUUCCUGAUGAUACGCCAAUUACACAUUUUUCUGGGUUUACUUUAAUAUUGAAUUUUCACAUUUGUUCAAAUAUUGAUCGCAAAUCAUCAACAUGAUCUUUCGCCUCUUUGCUUUUAGUUAGCAUAUCAUCUACAUAGACUUCUAAUGUUUUAUGUAUCCAUUUUUUUCGAAUACUUUCUGCACCAUUCUUUGAUAAGUUGCACCUGCAUUCUUCAAUCCAAAUGGCAUUUUCGUGUAACAAUAUAAACCUCCUGGUGCGAAGAAAGCAGUGUGUUCUUGAUCUUCUUCUGUCAAAGAAAUUUGAUUCUAGCCUUUAUACCCAUCUAACAUUGUGACUCUAUCAUUCCCUGAUGCCGAUUCCACCAUUUGAGGUAUGUCGGGUAAAGGGAAGCUGUCUUUAGGGCACGCUUUGUUUAGAUCUAUAAAAUCUAUGGAAAUCCUAAUUCCGAUGUUCUUUUUAGGUACCACCACCAUAUUUGCUAUGCACUCUGGAUAUUUUGCCUCCCUUAUAAUUCCUGCAUCUAACAUCUUCUGCAAUGCUGCUUCUAUUUUAGGAUGAUAGUCAGUUGCAAUCUUCCUUGUCCUUUGCUUGAACGGCUUUACAUUCUUCUUAAUGUCUAAUUUAUGACAUGCGACAGACGGAGCUAUUUCUGACAUUUCUUUCAUACUCCAUGCGAAAAUAUCAUUAUAUUCUCGCAGAAUGCUUAUCGUUUUUUCCUCUUCUUCUUUAUCCAUUUUAGUUCCAAUUCUUUAAAUUUUUGGUUCUUCUCCAGUUCCUAUAUUUAUUUCAUUUGCUGGUUCCGCUGCAGUAAAAUUCGCUUUUGGUUCCCUCAUAGGUGUUGGUUUCUUAAUUUCUUUAAUUUGUCCACCUUCCUCCGCUGGUUCUUCGCCUGGUAUUCCUUUUCCCUCUUUCGCUCUUAUCAUGUAUAUUCGAAAUUCCUCUUCUUUCCUUUGUUCUAUUGCUUUUAUCCAUCGAUCCUUUCGCUUCUUUGCUCUCCCUUCAUAAUUUCGCACAUCUAUUUGAUUACAAGUAUUCACAACCUUAACAUCUCCUUUGAUUUUACCUAUACCGCUUGGAAUAGGGAAUACAUUGAUGUAAUGUUGAAGCUACGACCUUUAGUCCAUGUACCCAUGGUCGUCCCAACAACAUGUUGUAUGGUGACUCAAUGUCAAUCACACACAGUGUUAUCUUUGUUUGAACCUCUCCCAGUAAUAUUCUCAUAACGAUUUCUCUGGAAUUUCUUCUGGAAUUUCAUCCGCUGCAAAGGAAAUUUUCACCUUUUCUCAAUCUUGUAAUUAAAUUCUUUGUCUACCGUCUCUAUCUUCUUACCUUCGUAAUUUGUUUUAUGAAUUCUCCCUGUUACUGUUGCUUGAAAAUCUGCCUCAGAAAUUGAUACUAUAAUUAUGUUAUUACACUGUAUAUCUCUGCCUCUUCCUUGAAUUAGUAUGAGUCUUCUCUUCAUGGAUCCCUUAUGAUUCUUCCUUAAUUUCCCUAAGAACUUCAGAUCUAUUAACAAGAAUUAUCAUCCAGAGUUGUUUCUAGCGCCAAAAAUGUAGUUGUCAUAAAUCUUACAAUUACGUUCCACUAUCACUAAAUGAGAAUUUAGGUAACCAUCUUCUUAUUAUAUGAAAUGUAGAUAGAAUUACAAAGAUUGAUCCAACUAUUACAAUGAUCUAUUUUCCCUAGAUUUACUUUCUGUUUCUAUUUCUUGACCAAGACUCACUCCAGAACUCCCUCACAAGUAAUGAUUUCUCUCCUUUAUAUAAGAUUUUACAUAGUGGAUGACAACUAAGAAACCCACUAUUUUCAGGAUCACUAUGCGACACAUUCGCUCAUCCUCGCAUAGAAUAUCUCUUCGCACAGUUCUUCGCACUUUACUCGUGACUUUGUUGACAUCAUCUGGUGCGUCAUCUCAACUUUAUUGUGUGCGAUGCUCUUCGCUUAGAUUGUAUUCUUUACUUCGCGUGAUUACUAACAUGUGCGGUAUUUUACUCCUCCAAUACUUAGAGAAUUUUCUUCAUGUAAAAAGAUAUUAUGCAUGCAGACCAUGAGCACCGAGGCUCCAUUAUGAUAACCAGAAGACAAAGUCUCAAUUUUAUAGUCGUCAAGAGUUUUUUCAAAAACCAGACGUGGCGGAUUAUCCGGAAAUCCUUCCCUGUCUUGAUCCAAAGUCUAUUAUCAAUGUUGAACUCUCCACUAUUUCCAAGCCAAUGUGCUUCCCAGAUAGGUUUCUUAUAAGGAUUUGUAUCUGUAAAUUGAAUUGAGUUGAGCAAUUAGAUCACAUACAAUUAAUUCCGUCCAUGUGUCCAGUAGAAUAUCACCAUUUUCAAAA